rnacentral:rRNA from 1 species
UUUCCGUAGGUGAACCUGCGGAAGGAUCAUUACCGAAAGCGGGUUCGUGCAACCCCCCCCGCUCUAUAAAUGGUAUCGACACUCGCCCCAAAGAUGGGGCGUUUGUUACCCCCGAGAAAGAAUUCGUUAUGCGAAGUUGGGCGAGGGGCGCCUCGCCGAGAGUUUUCUUUUGAAAGCUCUCGAACCAAAAGCGCACCCCACAUUUCAACCCCAUUAAACUCUGAAUCUGAACUCAAAGGGGGGCAGCGCUUGUCGCGGCUCCCCCAACCUUUAACGUUGUAAAACUUUCAGCGACGGAUGUCUUGGCUCCCACAACGAUGAAGAACGCAGCGAAAUGCGAUACGUCUUGCGACUUGCAGAAUCCAGUGAAUCAUCAAAACUUUGAACGCAUCUUGCGCUUCCGGGAUACUCCUGGGAGCAUGCUUGUCGGAGUGUCUGUUGACACCACUCGCCCCUCUCUCCCUCCCCCUAAAAAAGGUUGGUAGGCGGGGGCGGACUCUGAGUGUUCCGGAGUUCCCAUGCUCCGAGUGCACCUAAUCUCGUGAACGAAGCCUCUCGCGCCCUGCCGCACAGAGUUGUUGACGGCGCUCGCUUCGGCGGCGACUCUCGACUCACCAAACGUGCGCAGGCUGCGGGGCUUCUUCCGGCGCUCCCCCGAGACUUUUCACGAAGUCUUUGGGGAAUCCGUACCACUUUCGUUCGGACCUCCGAUCAAGCAAGAGGACCCGCUGAAUUUAAG